AGAGUUUGAUCCUGGCUCAGAUUGAACGCUGGCGGCAUGCCUAACACAUGCAAGUCGAACGGUAACGCGGGGGCAACCCUGGCGACGAGUGGCGGACGGGUGAGUAAUACGUAGGAAUCUGCCCAUUUGUGGGGGAUAACCCAGGCGAAAGCCGGGCUAAUACCGCAUACGCUCUACGGAGGAAAGCGGGGGAUCGUAAGACCUCGCGCGAAUGGAUGAGCCUACGUCGGAUUAGCUAGUUGGUGGGGUAACGGCCUACCAAGGCUGUGAUGGGUAGCUGGUCUGAGAGGAUGAUCAGCCACACUGGGACUGAGACACGGCCAGACUCCUACGGGAGGCAGCAGUGGGGAAUAUUGCGCAAUGGGGGAAACCCUGACGCAGCGACGCCGCGUGGGUGAUGAAGAGCCUUUCGGGGUC
rnacentral:rRNA from 1 species